UACAGAGGGUGCAAACGUUGUUCGGAAUUACUGGGCGUAAAGCGCGUGUAGGCGGCCAUCUAAGUCGGGCGUGAAAUCCCACGGCUCAACCGUGGAAGUGCACUCGAAACUGGAUGGCUAGAGUCCUGGAGAGGAAGGUGGAAUGCUUGGUGUAGAGGUGAAAUUCGUAGAUAUCAAGCGGAACACCGGUGGCGGAGGCGGCCUUCUGGACAGUGACUGACGCUGAGGUGCGAAAGCGUGGGGAGCAAACAGG
rnacentral:rRNA from 1 species